UUCUUAUCUAGUAGAUCUAGGCAGUUUCCCCUACAAACUAUUUUCUGUACUCUGUAUUGUAAGUUUUUGAUUGUAUUCUAUUUUCAUGCAGUGGGCAGAGAGUUGUCAUACAGGAAAAGAGGGAUGAUCAAAAAGUGGAAGAUGUUGUAGUUACUAUUCAGGGAUUAACGACCUCGGGAUAUUUGUUGGGCUUUGGAGAAGACAAUCAAAUGUAUGAGCUUCAUCCUGAUGGUAAUAGCUUUGACUUUUUCAAAGGGCUGAUCAGGAGGAAACUGGACUGAAAAAUAUGCCUAUUUUGAAGCUUCCACAUCAAAGGAACCAACCAAUCUCUUACCAUCUGGACCCACUAUUAUCUCAUCUUCUCAACAUCAGCAUUUUGUGGGUCCUAGGCAGUAGGCACCCCACAUCUGGAAGAUCUUAACUCUAAAUCGUGGUUAAAGAGACUUUAGAAGUGUAUGGUGAACUUUUUGAAAUUAAGGCUACGUUUGAUAUAAUAUCUUAGAAUGCAUGCUACUGGCAGCUUUAAUGUUUUGUCA